GGUUUGAUUAUGGCUCAGAUUGAACGCUGGCGGGAUGCUUUACACAUGCAGUCGUGAACGCAGCACGGACUUCGGUCUGGUGGCGAGUGGCGAACGGGUGAGUAAUGUAUCGGAACGUGCCUAGUAGCGGGGGAUAACUACGCGAAAGCGUAGCUAAUACCGCAUACUGCCCUUCGGGGGAAAGCGGGGACCUUCGGGCCUCGCACUAUUAGAGCGGCCGAUAUCGGAUUAGCUAGUUGGUGGGGUAACGGCUCACCAAGGCGACGAUCCGUAGCUGGUCGGAGGACGACCAGCCACACUGGGACUGAGACACGGCCCAGACUCCUACGGGAGGCAGCAGUGGGGAAUUUUGGACAAUGGGGGGAAACCCUGAUCCAGCCAUCCCGCGUGUGCGAUGAAGGCCUUCGGGUUGUAAAGCACUUUUGGCAGUGGAAGAAACGGCACGGGAUAAUACCCCGUGCAACUGACGGUACCUGCAGAAUAAGCACCGGCUAACUACGCCAGCAGCCGCGGUAAUACGUAGGUGCAAGCGUUAAUCGGAAUUACUGGGCGUAAAAGCGUGCGCAGGCGGUUCGGAAAGAAAGAUGUGAAAUCCCAGAGCUUAACUUUCUUGGAACUGCAUUUUUAACUACCGAGCUAGAGUGUGUCAUAGAGGUGGAAUUCCGCGUGUAGCAGUGAAAUGCGUAGAUAUGCGGAGGAACGCCGAUGGCGAAGGCAGCCUCCUGGGAUAACACUGACGCUCAUGCACGAAAGCGUGGGGAGCAAAACAGGAUUAGAUACCCUGGUAGUCCACGCCCUAAACGAUGUCAACUAGCCGUUGGGGCCUUCGGGCCUUGGUAGCGCAGCUAACGCGUGAAGUUGACCGCCUGGGAGUACGGUCGCAAGAUUAAAAACUCAAAGGAAUUGACGGGGACCCGCACAAGCGGUGGAUGAUGUGGAUUAAUUCGAUGCAACGCGAAAAACCUUACCUACCCUUGACAUGUCUGAAUCCCGAAGAGAUUUGGGAGUGCUCGCAAGAGAACCGGAACACAGGUGCUGCAUGGCUGUCGUCAGCUCGUGUCGUGAGAUGUUGGGUUAAGUCCCACAACGAGCGCAACCCUUGUCAUUAGUUGCUACGAAAGGGCACUCUAAUGAGACUGCCGGUGACAAACCGGAGGAAGGUGGGGAUGACGUCAAGUCCUCGCGGCCCUUAAGGGUAGGGCUUCACACGUCAUGAAUGGUCGGGACAGAGGGUCGCCAACCCGCGAGGGGGAGCCAAUCCCAGAAACCCGAUCGUAGUCCGGAUCGCAGUCUGCAACUCGACUGCGUGAAGUCGGAAUCGCUAGUAAUCGCGGAUCAGCAUGUCGCGGUGAAUACGUUCCCGGGUCUUUGUACACACCGCCCGUCACACCAUGGGAGUGGGUUUUACCAGAAGUAGUUAGCCUAACCCGUAAGGAGGGCGAUUACCACGGUAGGAUUCAUGACUGGGGUGAAGUCGUAACAAGGUAA
rnacentral:rRNA from 1 species